GUGAUGACGAGGCACUACGGUGCUGAAGCAACAAAUGCCCUGCUUCCAGGAAAAGCCUCUAAGCAUCAGGUAACAUCAAAUCGUACCCCAAACCGACACAGGUGGUCAGGUAGAGAAUACCAAGGCGCUUGAGAGAACUCGGGUGAAGGAACUAGGCAAAAUGGUGCCGUAACUUCGGGAGAAGGCACGCUGAUAUGUAGGUGAAGUCCCUCGCGGAUGGAGCUGAAAUCAGUCGAAGAUACCAGCUGGCUGCAACUGUUUAUUAAAAACACAGCACUGUGCAAACACGAAAGUGGACGUAUACGGUGUGACGCCUGCCCGGUGCCGGAAGGUUAAUUGAUGGGGUCAGCGCAAGCGAAGCUCUUGAUCGAAGCCCCGGUAAACGGCGGCCGUAACUAUAACGGUCCUAAGGUAGCGAAAUUCCUUGUCGGGUAAGUUCCGACCUGCACGAAUGGCGUAAUGAUGGCCAGGCUGUCUCCACCCGAGACUCAGUGAAAUUGAACUCGCUGUGAAGAUGCAGUGUACCCGCGGCAAGACGGAAAGACCCCGUGAACCUUUACUAUAGCUUGACACUGAACAUUGAGCCUUGAUGUGUAGGAUAGGUGGGAGGCUUUGAAGUGUGGACGCCAGUCUGCAUGGAGCCGACCUUGAAAUACCACCCUUUAAUGUUUGAUGUUCUAACGUGGACCCGUGAUCCGGGUUGCGGACAGUGUCUGGUGGGUAGUUUGACUGGGGCGGUCUCCUCCUAAAGAGUAACGGAGGAGCACGAAGGUUGGCUAAUCCUGGUCGGACAUCAGGAGGUUAGUGCAAUGGCAUAAGCCAGCUUGACUGCGAGCGUGACGGCGCGAGCAGGUGCGAAAGCAGGUCAUAGUGAUCCGGUGGUUCUGAAUGGAAGGGCCAUCGCUCAACGGAUAAAAGGUACUCCGGGGAUAACAGGCUGAUACCGCCCAAGAGUUCAUAUCGACGGCGGUGUUUGGCACCUCGAUGUCGGCUCAUCACAUCCUGGGGCUGAAGUAGGUCCCAAGGGUAUGGCUGUUCGCCAUUUAAAGUGGUACGCGAGCUGGGUUUAGAACGUCGUGAGACAGUUCGGUCCCUAUCUGCCGUGGGCGCUGGAGAACUGAGGGGGGCUGCUCCUAGUACGAGAGGACCGGAGUGGACGCAUCACUGGUGUUCGGGUUGUCAUGCCAAUGGCACUGCCCGGUAGCUAAAUGCGGAAGAGAUAAGUGCUGAAAGCAUCUAAGCACGAAACUUGCCCCGAGAUGAGUUCUCCCUGACCCUUUAAGGGUCCUGAAGGAACGUUGAAGACGACGACGUUGAUAGGCCGGGUGUGUAAGCGCAGCGAUGCGUUGAGCUAACCGGUACUAAUGAACCGUGAGGCUUAACCUUACAACGCCGAAGGUGUUU
rnacentral:rRNA from 1 species